rnacentral:lncRNA from 1 species
AAAAAGAGAAUUUUCCCAUUUCUCAAUAUUCCUUCUUUUCACUUUAUGAAGGGACAAUAUUAUUCCUUAAUUUUUGGUGUGGUAAUAUUAUCAUUCUUUGAAGUGAAAAUGGUGAAAUUCUAUUUUGUAUAAAAUGAAGGAAAAGAAAGAUGAGAUUUAAAGGAAUAAGCAUAAUAAAUUUAUCAAAAAAAAAAAAAAUACACACACACAAUUGUAAAGUAAAAGGUAGUAAAUAAAACUAACUUUUGUCUUCCUCAAAC